CUUUGGGGGUGCUUUGAUUCAUUUUGGGGGUGCUGAAGCACCCCCAAAAUGGGCUAAAAUCGCCCCUGUGUGGUCCCCAUAUGCUUCAACAGAUCCACCAUCAUCCCUGUGCCCAAGAACAACAAGCCCUCAUGCCUGAAUGACUACCGGCCAGUUGCACUGGUUAUGAAGGUGUUCGAGAGGCUGUUAAAGAACAUCAUCUCCUCCUCCAUCCCAAACACCGCUCCACAGAUCCACUCCAGUUUGGCUACUGACCGAACAGAUCCACAGAGGAUGCCAUCGCCAUGUCCUGCACACCACUCUUAGCCACGUGGACAAGAAACAAGACUGUGUGGCCACCCAUGGCUCCAGUACCAUUGUGAAGUUUGCUGACGACACAGUGGUAUUGGGUGCUAUCUCCAACAAUGAUGAGGCAGUCUACAUAGAUGAAGUGAAGAAUCUGGCAUCGUGGUGCCAGGAUAACCACCUCUAGCUGAACGUCAGCAAGACCAAGGAGCUGGUGGUGUCACAACACCAGCCAACACAGAGAAGAGGACUCAAAUGCAGACACCACAUGGAGGCUCGGAGAUUCUGUCAGAGAUCAAGAAAGAAACAAGGGACAAAGCUGAAGAGAACUGACUGCCAUUGGACUGCAAAGUGGGAGAGGAGAACAGAGUGGAGGAAGCAGGUGUCGUGAGGUACCAUGACAAGGAGUGACUGAAGGAGAUCAUCCACAAGAUGGAAGCUGAGGCCAGGAGAGAGGCUUCAGGAGGAUCAGUGAGGAGCAGAGAUCACCUUCAGCACAGCAGACAUCCCACAGAGAGCUGUGCCACUGGGCUUCCAGGAGAUCGUCGAGAGGAGACUUUGAACAACAAACAUCCAAAAGGAGUGAAAGAGAUUCGACAUUGACGUUGAGGAAGACAACUAGGGUGUAAGACUUGCGCUACCCUAAAUCUUCAGCGGCACUGGAACAGGGAAGCAGAAGGAUGAAGGGAGCAUGCCAAGCUCUAAUCGACGGUGCAGAGAGGAAGUUCAGCAAUGGAAUUGUGAUUCUGUGAACAGCACAGAUGCCAGGUGAUUGGGAAAUAACUGACAGCACUUUCCCAUGAAGAUCAUCUAAGGUGUUUCACUUUGCCAUGCAGACUUUGUUACUCUGCAGAGGGGCUUUCGUUUACAUUUACAUCAUGAACACUUCUAUAAGCUGGAUGGAGUUUUGAGCCAUGGGCGUGGACAUGACUCAAAAAGGGGGGGAGAAGAUCAUAAACAACUUGAUCCAAUUUCCUUUAAAAAAAAUUUCUGCAGAUGAAAGGAAAGGAGUCGUAAAUGCAGAUGACCCACCAGUUGACUCUGUCACCCCACAGGAAGGAUGCCUGCAGUGAGAAGAUUUGGGGGUUUGAUAGGGGUCAUAAAAAUAAGUGUUGACCAAGCUACAGCUUUGAAGAUAGCUGAAAGCCUCAUAGACAAACAAAACAACCAGCUGGUGUGUUUGAAUGUCUAUUCUGCAGACAUUUAAACUCGGGUCAUAUGGACAAUGAUGGAAACACCUGGAAGAGACAUUUAUGAAGCUAUGCAAAACUCAACCACUCUGCAGAGAGGUGUGUGAUUUACACACCAGGAGGAGAUGCACCACAAAGCUGGAAUUCUUUUGAGAAUGCUGAUUAGUGUUUUUGACUGUUGACAUUCAUUUGUUUACUUGCAGGAUGCAGUUUACUGUAUAUGAGAUGAAUGAGAAGUAGGAUAAUUGCUAAACACGUUUAGUACAUGUAUUAACUGUGAACUUUUGCAGCGAUAGGAGGUGAAUGACGUGAGGAGCUGUGUAUGAAUGGAACCUACACUGAAACUGUCAAACACAAGGGUACAUAAGUGGAAAUUUAAGUACAAUAAUGACAAAAAGAGGGGACUGUUGGAGUCAAAUUGUUAAAUGUUGUCAUUGUGUUACUUAAAUUUGUAAGUCUUAAUUCAAGCAGCAUGAUCAAAGACAUUCCUUUGUAUCUGACUCCCUCCCCAGUCUGUUGGUGGGGGAGGCUGUAGUGUUUUAUUAUAGGGACACAUCCUAUGUGAGGGUUCUGUUUUCUUGUUUAGUAAACUUCCUGCCUUUAUGACCCUUUUGUGAGCAGGAGGUCACACAAACGCACCCCCAAACACAAACACACACACACACAUACACACACACACACAUACACACAUUCUCGCACUUGCACACACACACACACACACACACACACACAGAUGCUUGCACAUACAUGCACACACACACACGCGCAGUGUUUAAACCUUUUGUGACCAUAGGGGGGUUUUACAAUGGGUGGUGCUUGUGUGUACUGUAACUGUUUUCAAUAAAAGGCGGCAAGCGGAAGCUAGUUCUUCGAAGUGGUUUGACCGAGGGCAGAAGGGCUGCUCUGAGAUCCUUCCCUUGCGUAAGUAAAAUCGCUGCUCAUCUUGCUUCCUUGUCGUUAACGGGAAUACGUUUCUAAACCAGCGGGGGCCUGUGGAAGCGCAGACCCAACAAACAUGCUGGUGAAUUUAGAAAUAUAACCAACUGCACAGUGCCUUGUAAAAAAUAUUCAUAGCUCAACCCUUUUAAAAUAAUUGUCACAGUACAAAAACAAACUUUAAUAUAAUGUUCUGUUAAUUAGUUCACUUUCUGAAAAACACAUGCAAAUUCAUAUUAAAAAAGAAGGAAAUAUAAAGUAUAUAAUGUCACAUUUGAAUAAAAAGUUAACUAAGAUUCCCAAAGCUGAACAACCAUUGUUUAUGUUGUCAUUCAGAUCUCACAUAGACUGACAAACUCUUCCUGUAGAGUAGUUCUAUAUAAGAUAAGAUAAGAUAAGAUAAGAUAAGACUUUAUUGAUCCCACGACGGGGAAAUUUUUGCGUCACCUCAGCUCAGGUACAGAUAUCAGAAGGAAAUACAAAGAAAAUACAAAUAAGUACAAUCAAUGAAAAAAGUAAGAUAAUACACUAUAUACAAUGGUAGCACACACAGUAUAAUACACUAUAUACAAUGGUAGCAUACACAGUAUGUGAUUAUGGAUAUGGUUGGAAAUAUGGAAGACAUAAACUAUAUCGCUUGAUAUAGCUAUUGUACCACUACUAUUCCUAUUUAUAGACAUGUACACACACACAUGUACACACUAAAUAUACAUAUGUAUACAUAUACAUACAUAUAUACCUGCACAUGUCCAUACACAUGGAAGGUCCAUUAUGCAUGAAGUGGUGACCGUGGAUGUUCACAGUGUCCAGUGACUUAUGAUAUUGUGAUUGAGGAGUUAUAGAGUCUAUAUCAACUAAUUCUGUACGAUUAAAAAAUGUCUUGACUGUAAGGGGAUUGCUGUGCUUUGCAGAGUUUGUUUUAUGAUUAUUGACGCCCUGUUAUAAGUUAUAAGCAGGUGAAACUUGAACUCUACCCUGAAUCUGUAGUCUUAUGCAUUUAUUAUUUUCAUGUGCAAGUCCAGCUUCAGGGUUCAGUAGAAAAUGCCAGAUGUAACUAUGAUGUCACAGUAAAAAGAAGAAGAAAAUAAUACUGAACACCACAGAGUCAGAGAUGUUAGAAUGUGUUUAAAAUUCUAAGUGUUUUGUGUUAAAAAGUGUGUAACCUUUUGUUUUUUAGAUGUUUUUAAUCAUUGAAUUUAUCAAUAGCAAGACUGUAAACAUCGUACCAAAGUCCUGGUUUAACGAUGAAAUUACGAGGUGGCCAAACUGUAGUAGCAAUAAAUGAAUAAAGAGAGUGGUUCAAAACAAUGAAGAGCCAGGAAAAGACUGGAAACGCGUUGAUGUUUGAGUCCUCUGAAGAACAGAUUGCUUUGCUCUGUUCUCUCUGUAAAGCUUCACUUUUGUCACACUCCCUACCUCUUCCAAGAAACUGAAGUAGAACUCUGCACUCUGUGACUUUCUGAAAAUGGAGUAAUUGUUAAUCUUUUGUGAAUUCUGAAUAGGCAAUUAACUAAAGCCAAGAGAGAAACUGAAGGAAGAGCUACAGACAGACAAAACCAAGGUUUGAUUUUUAUAGAUUUGUCACAAGUAUCCAACAUUUGAAAAAUACCAAAACCAUUAUUUACUUUUGUGUAUUAUCAUGUGGUCAAGUACUGGACUGUUUGUGUCCUUUUGAGGCCAAAUCCCACAGGGCUUCUUAGAUUAGAUUGAUGAGUAUUUGAACUGUUAGCAAUUCUUGAUUGUGGUAUCUUUUAUUGUAGUUCCAACACUGAUUGAUCAGUUAUCAUAACUGAAGCAAACGUUUCAGUUAACCAUGCUAAAAAGUAACAAGACUUGUUGUGAUUUGUUUU